ACCGGGCUCAGUGGCACAUGCCUGUAGUCCCAGCUACCCAGGAGGCUGAGAUGGGAGAAUCGCUGGAGCCCAGGAGUUCUGGGCUGUAUGUAGUGCACUAUGCCGAUCGGGUGUCCACACUAAGUUCAGCAUCAGUAUGGUGACCUCCCGGGAGCGGGGGACCACCAGGUUGCCUAAGGAGGGUGAACCAGCCCAGGUCGGAAAUGGAGCAGGUCAAAACUCCAUGCUGAUCAAUAGCGGGAUCGCACCUGUGAAUAGCCACUGCACUCCAGCCUGGGCAACGUAGGGAGACUCCAUCUCU
rnacentral:SRP_RNA from 1 species